rnacentral:rRNA from 1 species
UGGUAUGUACUGGCUUCGCUGAUUCCUCCUUUCUGAAGAACUGUAAUGUCAUUAAUUUGGUGUUGCAGGGAAACAGGACUGUUACUUUGAAAAAAUUAGAGUGUUUAAAGCAGGCUAACGCUUGAAUACAUUAGCAUGGAAUAAUGAAAUAGGACGUUCGAUCCUAUUUUGUUGGUUUCUAGGAUUGACGUAAUGAUUAAUAGGGAUAGUUGGGGGCAUUAGUAUUCAAUUGUCAGAGGUGAAAUUCUUGGAUUUAUUGAAGACUAACUACUGCGAAAGCAUUUGCCAAGGAUGUUUUCAUUAAUCAAGAACGAAAGUUAGGGGAUCGAAGACGAUCAGAUACCGUCGUAGUCUUAACCAUAAACUAUGCCGACUAGGGAUCGGAUGAUGUUAAUUUUUUAAUGACUCAUUCGGCGCCUUACG